CGCGGGGUGGAGCAGAACGGGGGCUCGUCGGGCUCAAAACCCGAAGGCCGCGGGUUCAAAUCCUGUCCCCGCAACCA
rnacentral:tRNA from 1 species